GAUGAACGCUGGCGGCGUGCCUAAUACAUGCAAGUCGAGCGAACAGACGAGGAGCUUGCUCCUCUGACGUUAGCGGCGGACGGGUGAGUAACACGUGGAUAACCUACCUAUAAGACUGGGAUAACUUCGGGAAACCGGAGCUAAUACCGGAUAAUAUAUUGAACCGCAUGGUUCAAUAGUGAAAGACGGUUUUGCUGUCACUUAUAGAUGGAUCCGCGCCGCAUUAGCUAGUUGGUAAGGUAACGGCUUACCAAGGCAACGAUGCGUAGCCGACCUGAGAGGGUGAGCGGCCAACAGGGAACUGAGAACCGGUCCAAACCCCUAGGGGAGGCAGCAGUGGGGAAUCUUCCGCAGGGGGCGAAAGCCUGAGGGAGCAACGCCGGGGGAGUGAUGAAGGUCUUGGGAUCGUAAAACUCUGUUAUUAGGGAAAAAAAAAUGUGUAAGUAAAUAUGCAGGUUUGGACGGUACCAAAACAGAAAGCCACGGCUAACUACGG
rnacentral:rRNA from 1 species